UGAAAAUGACAGAAAUCGCGAUUCGCCGGUUACUACUACACGCAGUUUAGUUUGGGAAGCAAGGAUAUGCUUAGAUCGCGUCCUCUGUUGCCAAGAAUACCAGAAAAGUCACAGCUAAUAAGAUCGGGACAAGUCGAUCCUGUUGUCUUCCCGGAAGAAUUUAAGGAAUUUCCAUAAAAAAAAGGCUCCAAGAGUGCCUGGAAAACAACAAGAAAAAUCUGUAUAAACUCCGGACAAUAUAUUGAGAUUUUCUUCCAAUGGCGAAAAAUCCUGAAUUCUCUUCAAGGAAUAAACCCACCACAGAGGAAUUUCGGCGUGCUGCUUCCUCUCCAGACAAGGAUUGAUUAUCGACACUACAUUUUCUUAAUGAGAGUCUAAACCUUGUUUUAGCCGGGAAUUAUACCACGUUCUGUUUCUUGCAGGAGACACUGGCUAGUUUUUCUAUUUUGUUCUAGUGUGAAAAGU